GAAAAGCACAAGCGACACGCAGCCGCGCAAAAAGGUCCCGCCUCGGGAUGCGCUGGGGCGGCUGCCGCGGCUGCGCCCCUUGUAUCAGUACAUCAACCUCAGCACGGAGCUGAUGCGCCCAGCAGAAGAGGAGGCUCAGCACCAGCAGCCCACAGCUGAUGAGUGCUCAGAGCCAAGGACCAGCUGAGUUCCCACCCUUUAGAAAAGCACGUCAGUACAUUUCUUUCUGUCAGUUUGAAACUAUUUUGAAAGGAAAUAAAUACCUGAAGGUAAAUGCCUCAUUUAGAAACUGAGCAAAGAACCCAGCAAACCCAUGAAGAUUCUGCUCCUCAGCUUGCACCUUCCAGCAAUUUCUACAACCAGACAGGCAGAAAAAGAUCUCAUUCAUCACAACAGUCAGUGUGGGAGGCCCACGAUAGACAGGGUGUCUCUAGAGCCAGUGACUCCAGAACAGCUUUAGAAUGAGAGAAAAAGCAAAGAGGUGGGCACAGCUCCGUGCUGUCCAAGCAAAGGGAGCUGCCAUCCUUUUCUCACCAAUGGGGAAAGCGAGUCCUGUCAGAAGAUCCAUCUCCUACUUUGUCACACCAAGUGAUCAGCCCCAGCUGGAAGCUCUGUCAUGGAGGCUUCAGCUCAGCCAAAUCACACGCAAGCACCCAGCUACAUGAAGAACACCCUGAACAAACAAUCUAUUUUUUCGUUUAUUUCUGUAGAAAACAAGUCAGACACUUGUCAGGAAGGACCAGCUUAUGAAACAGUGGUUUGCGUGUUAACGUACAUAAAUACACAGGGUUACCAUCUGAGUGGGAAAUACAUUAAAAAAAGCUUUCAAGUACACAAAGUACAUGUCAUACAAUUGUACUGUCCCUAUCACAUACCUGCCUCAGAGAGAAACUCUUCUCCAAAUGAACAGACUGCCACCCACCAGCUGCCAACAGCCACGAGCUGCAGGAGGGCAGGCAGCACCAGAGGGCUGAUAUCCAGCGUCUGAGGUUCAGGGCAGACUCCUCAGCUAUCAGCAUGUGUAGUGUGACAGCUUCCCAGCCAGCACAUAGGAGAGCUGCAAGAGGUAGGCAAGACCUCCUGACCUCCACCAUCAGAUACGUGGAAGGUUAAGGUUUUACAGCUUCAUUGGCAACGACAUCCUGAGCCUCAUCUGCGAGCCUGGGAGGAGUUCAGGAAGCCACAGAAGUGAGGAGGUGGCCCUGCAGUCACAGCUCUGCUGCUGCCAGGCUGUAAACACAACCGGUGGACGUGGAGCUCAUGCAGAAAGGCUGCUGGAUGCAGUCAGUGUCACGAGUCGAAGGAAUAAUGUCUGCAGAUAUGGGAGGAAAGCACAAAGCAUCACAGCCUUCCCCAGCACCAUCAGCUGGGAUCUCACAGCAUCCUUUAAACAACACACUGGUUUCAAUUAAUUUGAAAGACAUUUGCGGUAUGCAGAAAGCCAACGGCCAAUUCUUAUUCUACAAACUUUACUGUAUUCCUUCUGGUCUUUGUCCUAUGGCAGUUCAGAGAUGUGUUACAUCCCUAAACUCUUUAAUAAAGUGUUACU